rnacentral:rRNA from 1 species
GACGGAGGGGGCUAGCGUUGUUCGGAAUUACUGGGCGUAAAGAGCGCGUAGGCGGUUUGGUAAGUUGGAAGUGAAAUCCCGGGGCUUAACCUCGGAAUUGCUUUCAAAACUGCCAGGCUAGAGUGUAGUAGGGGAUGAUGGAAUUCCUAGUGUAGAGGUGAAAUUCUUAGAUAUUAGGAGGAACACCGGUGGCGAAGGCGGUCAUCUGGGCUACAACUGACGCUGAGGCGCGAAAGCGUGGGGAGCAAACAGG